rnacentral:lncRNA from 1 species
GUUGAUCGAACCGCCGGUUUCUUUGGCUGUGGUCCUUGGGUUGACCUCUGUGCUCGUUUCAGCAUUCAGCGCAUGCACGGUCGUUCCUGGUUUGAUGGUUUACUAUCGUCUAUGGACAUCCGCUUUUGGAUUGGUCGAACCGCUGGUUUCUUUGGCUUUGAUCCUUGGGUUGACCUCUGUGCUCGUUUCAGCAUUCAGCGCAUGCACGGUCGUUCCUGGAGGUUCCUGGUUUGAUGGUUUACUAUCGUCUAUGGACAUCAGCUUUUGGAGUGGUCGAACCGCUGGUUUCUUUGGCUUCGAUCCUUGGGUUGACCUCUGUGCUCGUUUCAGCGUUCAGCGCAUGCACGGUCGUUCCUGGUUUGAUGGUUUACUAUCGUCUAUGGACAUCCGCUUUUUGGUUGGUCGAACCGCUGGUUUCUUUGGCAUUGGUCCUUGGGUUGAUCUGUGCUCGUUUCAGCAUUCAACGGAUUUGUUCAGGCGUCUUUCUCGUGCCAGGAACGGUCUUCACACAUACUCGGUUCUUCCACGUCGCUCAUCACUGACUCGAAAAGAAUAACACACCACUACAAAAGGACACAAUGUCAAUGAACGGGAAAGGGGAGGGUAUUCUCGCCAACUGAAAUUUCCUUAUUUGCUCAUGGUGAUAAUGACGUCCAUCUUUAAGACUGGUUGGUGGUAAGUGCCACCAGGCUCGCUGUUUAGUUUUUUUGGUGUCCUUGACUCACCAAACGCUUUUGUGGAUCUACAUGGUCGAAGUUAUGUAGUACCUGUCGUUUGUUUAUCGGACAGUGCUACCCGCUGUCGUCGCUUGUUCAACACAUAUACUGCGCCGUAGUUUGAUAUGUGUCCACAACUAUCGCGUACUCUGCAAGAUCGGUAGGAAUGAAGGACCAUGGCGCCCUUCACGCGGCUGUGACGUCA